AAUCAUAAGCAAUCACUAUAGUAUUGAAUAAUCGUAGGCAACCACUUUUAAAACUCAUGAGUAGACAACUUACAAUACACAACGACAAGUUGUCUAACUUUGAAGUGACAUAAUUCUUAAAGCUAUUGAUUUAAAAUCUCUACAACACAUCAAUAAAGUAGAGUACAUUAAGUGUUGCAGCGGAAACAACUCAAGUGGAUUACAUGUAUGAGGACAUGAAAUCCCGAGCCUAAAUUAUAUAUAUAUACACCGAGGGCUUUGCUCUGCUUGCUACCAUCUGCAUCACAGCUUAACCUGCAUAUUUAGAAACAUACGCAGGGCUGAGUACCAAAAAGCACUCAGUGGUCAUGCCGAAAUAACUUUAAAGCUUGCUCUUAGAGCUAUAUAUUGAACUUGCCAUCUCAAGCAUCACACAGGAGUUUUAUUUAAAUAACCUGUGUAUGCAAAACUAUAAAACUUCUCUAUAAUCAUCAUAACAUCAUAUACGUCUGCAGACAAUUAACAUGUAUGUACCAUAUCUACGCAUCAUAUAACUCUGAGUGUUGAGAAGUAGGCCUCCUUCUCAAACACGAUGACAAGCUAACACAAAGGUUAACUGUCAACUCUGUGUACACAAAUCCUGACUCGCUCAGGACCCGAAUUCGUUGUUCUAUGUAGAUGGUAUCAUACAAAUCUCAGAUAUUGGCAAGUCAAUAAUUGGAAAAUAAAUGCAUACACUCAAACUUCAUAUAAUAAAGUAUGCAUCUUUACUCCUUGAGUUAGUAAGCCCACCUGAUAUAGUUAAUGAAGUAGAAGUCCUUGCUUGUUCACUCUACACUGCCACUCGAACCUUCAUUAUAAUGAGGUUCCCAAGGUAAGAUUUGAUAGAUAGACAAGAAAUAAAUAAAAAUAAUUCCUAGUUGAAACUUCUAUCACUUGAAACUUUAGAGCUACAUCCUCUAGUUUAGAUCGUCUGCUUUUAUGAACUUAACUAACUAAAAGCAAAUGGUAACCUUUCAAAUUGCUCAAGAGUAAGCUAAUCUAUUCUCUAUAGAUUAGCUAACAAUUAAUGACUGAAACACCAAUCACUUAGCAUGGUUCUAUUUAUAACUAUCCCAAGUAAGAAAUCUCAAACAUGUCUUCAUAAAUGAAUCUCAACUUUGAAAAUCAUAUAAAAUCAACCUCUUCAAAGAAGAAUACAAACUUUACUUUUUCAGAAAGCUAUUAAAGUCUACAUUUCUCAGAAAUUUACAGAAACACAAUAUCUCAAGUGUAUAAGAAAUUAUAUCACGAAAGGCAAAAUCUGCCACUGAACUUCACUGCUUCGUGCAGUACUUUUCAGAAAAUAGUUUGACAUGUCUAAAUAUGUCGGAUUUAGCUGAAAUUUUGCAGACACGUACUACUCAUGAUGACGUUAUUACUGUAAAAAUUUCAAAAGAUUUGGACUACGGGAACAUCAUCAAAAUCAUCCCACAAGACACUGUUCUGUCAAGCUAAAAAUUGACAGCAAUGCAUCCUUGGUUUCAAUUCAACAUAUAACUCAUACUUUGGCCAAAUAAAAUGUGUAGAGACUCAAACACAUGAUCAUAACACAUGCUAGGAUGCUUUAACUUCAAACUUAACCCAUGUUUAACACCUCAACUAAGCCAACAAGUUAUAACAUAACAAUUCUUAUAACAAUUGUCCAUACAUUAGAGCCUUACAAAAAAAAAUGAGGUAAUAGGGCUGUUCUAAUGCCCACAUCUAAUAAAAUCACAUCAUAAUAUAUUUGUAUCCAUCAAUUAAUAGCAUAUAAACCUUCUUAACUCAAAAGCCCCAAUUUUCAUUAAACUAACAAACUCAAUCUCACAUUCUAUAUGGUGUAAACUCAUAAUUUACUCAUAUAUGACAUAAUUCCAACUCAAGAACACAUAUAUGAGUCCAAUUAUUCAAGAACAUAAUCAGAACUCUCAACCUCAAACCUAGGGUUCAUACUAACUUGAGUAAACUCGAAAUCAAGUAAGAAUUAACACAAUUAACCACCAUAAUCAUGCUUAGGAACAUCAAAAACAUAAUAUAUCUCAAUAUUACGAUCAUACUUCAACUCUAGCAUUAAACCCCCAAAUUUUCGAAAAUAAUCAAGAAAAUAAGGUAAAUAUUUUCUCGAUUUUAGACCAUAGAAAUCUUGCCAAAGUAUGUUCUUACCUCAAUCUGUGAUCUAUGAAUGAUAUUUGAAAUUUUAGAGGCUAAGAUUUGAGCUUGCAAAUAAAAAGAAUGGAGGUUUGAUGGGGAAGGAGUUGGACGUCUGCCAGGGGAAGAAGAAAAUGGCUUUCUUCCCUUAUAAGCCAAUAUAUGUAUAUAUCUUAUUAGGUUUAGUAAAAAUAAGUAAUAAAAUAUUACUAGCAUGUGUGGGUUUAAAAAUUCCACACUUUAACUAACUCACAAAAUAAUUCAACAUUUUC
rnacentral:lncRNA from 1 species